GGGCGUGUGGCUCAGUUGGUAGAGCGUUCGCUUAGCAUGCUUCAAGGUAAACACUUGGAGAAUAACAUGCGAAAGGUCCUGAGUUCGAUUCUUAGCUCGUCCA